UACGUAGGGUGCAAGCGUUGUCCGGAAUUAUUGGGCGUAAAGAGCUCGUAGGCGGUUUGUUGCGUCGGCUGUGAAAUCCCGAGGCUCAACCUCGGGUCUGCAGUCGAUACGAGCAAACUAGAGUGUUGCAGGGGAGACUGGAAUUCCUGGUGUAGCGGUGAAAUGCACAGAUAUCGGGAAGAACACCCGUGGCGAAGGCGGCACUCUGGGACGGUACUGACGCUGAGACGCGAAAGCGUGGGGAGCGAACAGG
rnacentral:rRNA from 1 species